UGUAACAGGUCAGUGUGAUUUCUACACGUCGAGAGAGGGGUUUCUAUCAUACAUUUCUGGUGUCAUAAGCCAAAGGGACAACCCCAUCGUAGCAGCUAUGCGAAAUAGGAUUAUAGCCCUGGCGGAGUCCGGGACCUUCGUGAGGUGGUUCAUGACCAAUAUUCCCAACGCCACAAGGUGCCUCAACCUCCCGAAGAAGUUCACUGUCCGCUCCUCUCUCUCGCUGACCAACCUCUGGGGAAUGUAUGUGGUUCUUGGGAGCGGAGUUGCUGUCAGUUUACUGGUGUUUUGGCUGGAGGUCGUCAGCGUCGGUGUUCUCCAGCUGGGAGAACACAGGCUGGGUGUCUACUAAUUGUAUGAAAAGUAUAAACACAAUAUAUCCUUCUAUUAAGUUUAUUUCAGAAACUCCUGACUAUUGAUUCCAGCUAUAUGUUCAUAUUAUCACUGUAUAAUGGAGUAUUAUAUGGACUUACAAAUAAAUAAUAUUUAGAAAAUAGAU